rnacentral:lncRNA from 10 species
GAGACCAAUUUGGCCUGGGGAGAACCGCCUUCAGGCGUUUGGACUCAGUGGAGGUUGUGAGUGCCCAGCAGUGUGGCCUGAAUCUCCGUGGGGUUUAGGGAGACGAAAGGACCCCAGAUCGACGUCCCCUCGUUCCCACUUUGGGGAUCGGCGCUCUGGCUGUUUCGUGAAGGAGAGAGAGGAACUCAGAGUGGUUUUCCAGAUGGGAAUCACAUUGCUCUCUGUCCCUGAGAUCUUGCUGGAGACAGGGCUACUCAGUCCCUCUUUGCCAGGUAAUCUGUUCCAGAAGAAACAUGUGUCGUUCUGACUGAGCCCCUGCCUGUCUGUCACCUUAAGAGCCAGUCAAUUCAUAUGGUCCCCAUAUCAAAGUCUCCUGUGCCCAGAGAGAGGAUUUCAUUUCAACCAUCACCAUCACCACCAUCAUCAUCAUCACCAAGAGAUGUUGUUGAAUUGAUACUGGAAAAGCAGUUUCUAUUGAGCCCCCAAAUGAAGAGUGAGUGCAGAUGAAGAGGAGGCAGGACUCACAAGCCCUUGAACUUUAUUCCAGAUCUGUUAGCACCUACAGGACCCUGCACCAGGAUUUCAUCUGUACUAUCAGCUUCUUCAAAGAGAGAGAGGUUGUUGA